AUUGAACGCUGGCGGCAGGCUUAACACAUGCAAGUCGAGCGGAGCGAGGGUGCUUGCACCUUAGCUUAGCGGCGGACGGGUGAGUAAUGCUUAGGAAUCUGCCUAUUAGUGGGGGACAACAUUCCGAAAGGAAUGCUAAUACCGCAUACGCCCUACGGGGGAAAGCAGGGGAUCUUCGGACCUUGCGCUAAUAGAUGAGCCUAAGUCGGAUUAGCUGGUUGGUGGGGUAAAGGCCUACCAAGGCGACGAUCUGUAGCGGGUCUGAGAGGAUGAUCCGCCACACUGGGACUGGGACACGGCCCAGACCCCUACGGGAGGCAGCAGUGGGGAAUAUUGGACAAUGGGCGGAAGCCUGAUCCAGCCAUGCCGCGUGUGUGAAGAAGGCCUUUUGGUUGUAAAGCACUUUAAGCGAGGAGGAGGCUACUUAGAUUAAUACUCUGGGAUAGUGGACGUUACUCGCAGAAUAAGCACCGGCUAACUCUGUGCCAGCCGCCGCGGUAA
rnacentral:rRNA from 1 species